UACGUAGGUGGCAAGCGUUAUCCGGAAUUAUUGGGCGUAAAGCGCGCGCAGGCGGUUUCUUAAGUCUGAUGUGAAAGCCCACGGCUCAACCGUGGAGGGUCAUUGGAAACUGGGGAACUUGAGUGCAGAAGAGAAAAGCGGAAUUCCACGUGUAGCGGUGAAAUGCGUAGAGAUGUGGAGGAACACCAGUGGCGAAGGCGACUUUCUGGGCUGUAACUGACGCUGAGGCGCGAAAGCGUGGGGAGCAAACAGG
rnacentral:rRNA from 1 species